AGGCCUAACACAUGCAAGUCGAACGGAUCCUUCGGGAUUAGUGCGGACGGGUGAGUAACACGUGGAACGUGCCCUUUGGUUCGGAACAACUCAGGGAAACUUGAGCUAAUACCGGAUGUGCCCUUCCGGGGGGAAAGAUUUAUCGCCAUUGGAGCGGCCCGCGUCUGAUUAGCUAGUUGGUGAGGUAAAGGCUCACCAAGGCGACGAUCAGUAGCUGGUCUGAGAGGAUGAUCAGCCACAUUGGGACUGAGACACGGCCCAAACUCCUACGGGAGGCAGCAGGUGGGAAUCUUGCGCAAUGGGCGAAAGCCUGACGCAGCCAUGCCGCGUGAAUGAUGAAGGUCUUAGGAUUAGUAAAUUCUUCACCGGGGACGAUAAUGACGGUACCCGGAGAAGAAGCCCCGGCUAACUUCGUG
rnacentral:rRNA from 1 species